rnacentral:rRNA from 1 species
UAGGGAAUCUUCGGCAAUGGGGGGAACCCUGACCGAGCAACGCCGCGUGAGUGAAGAAGGUUUUCGGAUCGUAAAGCUCUGUUGUUAAGGAAGAACGAGUGUGAGAAGGGAAAGUUCAUGCUGUGACGGUACUUAACCAGAAAGGGACGGCUAACUACGUGCCAGCAGCCGCGGUAAUACGUAGGUCCCGAGCGUUGUCCGGAUUUAUUGGGCGUAAAGCGAGCGCAGGCGGUUAGAAAAGUCUGAAGUGAAAGGCAGUGGCUCAACCAUUGUAGGCUUUGGAAACUGUUUAACUUGAGUGCAGAAGGGGAGAGUGGAAUUCCAUGUGUAGCGGUGAAAUGCGUAGAUAUAUGGAGGAACACCGGUGGCGAAGGCGGCUCUCUGGUCUGUAACUGACGCUGAGGCUCGAAAGCGUUGGUAGCGAACAGG